rnacentral:rRNA from 1 species
CCUACGGGGGGCUGCAGUGAGGAAUAUUGGUCAAUGGGCGAGAGCCUGAACCAGCCAAGUCGCGUGAGGGAGUACUGCCCUAUGGGUUGUAAACCUCUUUUGUCGGGGAGCAAAAGCCGGACGUGUCCGGCUGUGAGAGUACCCGAAGAAAAAGCAUCGGCUAACUCCGUGCCAGCAGCCGCGGUAAUACGGAGGAUGCGAGCGUUAUCCGGAUUUAUUGGGGUUAAAGGGUGCGCAGGCGGAUUUUUAAGUCAGCGGUCAAAUCGUGGGGCUCAACCCCAUCCAGCCGUUGAAACUGGGGAUCUAGAGUGUGCGAGAGGUAUGCGGAAUGCGUGGUGUAGCGGCGAAAUGCAUAGAUAUCACGCAGAACCCCGAUUGCGAAGGCAGCAUACCGGUGCACAACUGACGCUCAGGCACGAAAGCGUGGGUAUCGAACAGGAUUAGAUACCCGGGUAGUC